GAUGAACGCUGGCGGCGUGCCUAAUACAUGCAAGUCGAGCGAACAGAUGAGGAGCUUGCUCCUCUGACGUUAGCGGCGGACGGGUGAGUAACACGUGGAUAACCUACCUAUAAGACUGGGAUAACGUCGGGAAACCGGAGCUAAUACCGGAUAAUAUAUUGAACCGCAUGGUUCAAUAGUGAAAGACGGUUUUGCUGUUACUUAUAGAUGGAUUCGCGCCGCAUUAGCUAGUUGGUAAGGUAACGGCUUACCAAGGCAACGAUGCGUAGCCGACCUGAGAGGGUGAUCGGCCACACUGGAACUGAGACACGGUCCAGACUCCUACGGGAGGCAGCAGUAGGGAAUCUUCCACAAUGGGCGAAAGCCUGACGGAGCAACGCCGCGUGAGUGAUGAAGGUCUUCGGAUCGUAAAACUCUGUUAUUAGGGAAGAACAAAUGUGUAAGUAACUAUGCACGUCUUGACGGUACCUAAUCAGAAAGCCACGGCUAACUACGUG
rnacentral:rRNA from 1 species